ensembl:lncRNA
CGUAUCUCCAGGUUCACACGCUGUCUGUAAUGCGUAUUUUUUCCGAGCCCAUGUUAAUGGAUCAGAGCGUUCACACUGCACACGGUAAAGGAUGUGAACAAAAAAGGUUAGAAAUAGAAAGGUGCGAAAAGAAUGAAUAUCUAGCGCAUGAGCAUAGAGAGAGUUGUGAGUUCACAAGACACAGUUUGAGCGAGAUGCGUAUUUUUUUCCGAGCCCAUGUUAAUGGAUCAGAGCCUUCACACGCACACGGUAAAAGAUGUGAACAGAAAAGGUUAGAAAUAAAAAGGUGCGAAAAGAAUGAAUAUCUAGCGCCUGAGCAUAGAGAGAGUUGUGAGUUCACAAGACACAGUUUGAGCGAGAGGAGACGCGUUUUAACUGCGCGCAUUUUCUCCGGGCUAGAGCAUGUAUCUGAGCACGCGUGUCUGGUUUUGUGA